rnacentral:rRNA from 1 species
ACUCGGGCUAAUACCGCAUACGCCCUACGGGGUAAAGCAGGGGACCUUCGGGCCUUGCGCUGAUGGAUGAGCUCGCGUCGGAUUAGCUUGUUGGUGAGGUAAAGGCUCACCAAGGCGACGAUCCGUAGCUGGUCUGAGAGGAUGAUCAGCCACACCGGGACUGAGACACGGCCCGGACUCCUACGGGAGGCAGCAGUGGGGAAUCUUGGACAAUGGGGGCAACCCUGAUCCAGCCAUGCCGCGUGUGUGAAGAAGGCCUUCGGGUUGUAAAGCACUUUCAGCAGGGAGGAAGGCUUACCCCUAAUACGGGUGAGUACUUGACGUUACCUGCAG